UCUCUGGUGGUCCAGUGGCUAAGACUCCGUGUUCCCACUGCAGGCGUCCCGGGUUCGAUCCCUGGUCAGAGAA
rnacentral:tRNA from 1 species